rnacentral:rRNA from 1 species
GGCCUAACACAUGCAAGUCGAACGCCCCGCAAGGGGAGUGGCAGACGGGUGAGUAACGCGUGGGAAUCUACCUAGUUCUACGGAACAACAGUUGGAAACGACUGCUAAUACCGUAUACGCCCUAAGGGGGAAAGAUUUAUCGGAAUUAGAUGAGCCCGCGUAAGAUUAGCUAGUUGGUGGGGUAAUGGCCUACCAAGGCGACGAUCUUUAGCUGGUCUGAGAGGAUGAUCAGCCACACUGGGACUGAGACACGGCCCAGACUCCUACGGGAGGCAGCAGUGGGGAAUAUUGGACAAUGGGCGAAAGCCUGAUCCAGCAAUGCCGCGUGAGUGAUGAAGGCCUUAGGGUUGUAAAGCUCUUUUGCCAGGGAUGAUAAUGACAGUACCUGGAGAAUAAGCUCCGGCUAACUCCGUGCCAGCAGCCGCGGUAAUACAGAGGGUGCAAGCGUUA